AUACGGAGGAUGCGAGCGUUAUCCGGAUUUAUUGGGUUUAAAGGGUGCGUAUGCGGUUUUUUAAGUCAGCGGUGGAACGCAAGGGCUCAACCCUUGACCUGCCGUUGAAACUGGAGGACUUGAAUGCGGAUGCUGUGGGAGGAAUGUGUGGUGUAGCGGUGAAAUGCAUAGAUAUCACACAGAACACCGAUUGCGAAGGCAUCUCACAAAUCCGUGAUUGACGCUGAGGCACGAAAGUGUGGGGAUCAAACAGGAUUAGAUACCCUGGUAGUCCACACUGUAAACGAUGAUGACUCGCUGUCGGCGAUAUACAGUCGGUGGCCAAGCGAAAGCGAUAAGUCAUCCACCUGGGGAGUACGACCGCAAGGUUGAAACUCAAAUGAAUUGACGGGG
rnacentral:rRNA from 1 species